rnacentral:lncRNA from 1 species
AAAAAACUAGGAGAAAGAAUCCAGGAAGGAGCGGUAGAAGGUAGGGAGAAACUCACAAGACGGCAUUCUUGUGGAAGUCAAGUCAAGAAAGAGGAAGUGGUCAACAAUGUUGGAUGCUGCAAAGAGGAUGCAUACUGAAAUGUGUGGAUUUUGCAACAAUAACAUCACCCUGUCGUCACUGAAGGCAACCUCAUGAACGGAGAAAGAUAUGCAGCUGGGUAUACAGAAGAGGAGCAAGAAGGAAGCGAAGAUGUGGAGACAAUUACAAGGACAACACUGGGCUGCAAGAAGAAAAAUUUGCUUAUUGAUUGGCUGGUUUGUUUCCUUUUAGUACGGAGAGACUUAAGCAUGGUUAGGUGCCGAUGGGUUAGAGAGGAGAGGAUGAAUGUACAGGAGAGUUGGAACAGGAUCCCCAAGAAGAAAAUUAAGAUCCCAGUCCUUUCCAGGGGUAGAAUUUAGCAUUGCUGCCUAAAUCUCCAUAUCUAAUGAUUCCUCUGCAGCCGUGCCCAAGACAGAACCAUCCUCAAUCUGGCCCAUCCAUUUGGGCUUUUACUUUGGGUUCCCCAUUAAACCCCUAAUUCCUUCCUGGGCCCAGAACUUUCUCCAGAGCUGCUAUCACUUGCUUUCAUAUCUCAGUCAAGGGGAUCUUACUGCCCUUAACCCCACAGUACUAUCACUUGCCAUGACGCUUGAAUAUUACUGCUUUUGAGAAAGUCUUGCUACCACGUGUUGGCCACAACAUCAGAUAAGCUUUGAUACUCUUGCUCUCCAGCUGUGAGCUGGGUCUUACCUCAUCUACUAGAUCUACCACUCACAGGUCAGAUGAAACAAAACACUGUGUUGUGACCCUGACCAUUCUCUGUUCCUCCCAUUUGUCCUGAGACUGAACAAAUUACAGCAAAACUUGGGUUGCCUUAUGAAUAAUGGGGCGGUGGCCAAUGCACACAUCCUUAUCUUCAUCCACGGAGGGCUCAUCUAACCACCCCUGGUGUCUUCACUGCAGGUUUAUUGGGCACUUCCUAGCACCAGGCACUGCAAUAAGAAAUGGAGGUUAAACCAUGAAGAAACAUGGCUCUAGCCCUUAGGGAGCUCCCGGUCCUGCAGACCCCACAUAUAGGAACCAUCGGAUCCCUGUGUACAGAUGAAGAACUGAGUCUUGGAAAGCUUAACUACCUUGCUCACAGUCACACGUUAAGGUCUAAAGUGAGAAAUUAAACCAAGUCUUCCAAUCUCAAAGACUUUAAAGGAAAAGCUACAAGCUACAAGAAUAAAGAAGUUCUUCAUGUAUAUUUAUGGGAAAAUUGCUAAGGUGUAGUCUCAAGUCCUAAAAAAGCAAAGUUCA